rnacentral:lncRNA from 1 species
AUUCAAAUGUGAAAAGAAUGCAAGGAAAGCUUUAAGUUUAACCAAUUUAAGUUAAAUAAAAACCUAAUUUAUGAAAAUAUUAAAACAGAAAUCAAACAAAUCAAGAAUUAAGAAACUCCUCGACUUACAUCAGAAUCUACUUAUAAAUGGAAAUGUUGGAACAGAACACCGUCAUAAGUCGAGGGCUACCUGUAAUUUAAAAAAUUAUUUGCAGCAAAAGUCUAAUUUAAAUGAACAAUCAGUAAAUGAGAAACGAUUCAGGUAUUUUCAAGCAAUAGACAGUUUGAAACAAUAUUUAGAAUGCUUUAAAAUUUGUCAAUACAAUAUAUGUUCAUAAUUCUUGUCCACAAUGCCACCACUGAAUAUUUAGUUUAAUGAAAUCAUAGUAGUCAGUCAGAUGGACAAAAUAAAUGUUGAUUGAAAAUGUGAAAACUUUAGUAAUAUUAAAAUUAAAUUUUUGCAAUUACUUAAAAGAGUUGGUACAUCAGAAAAAUAUGAUUUUAUAAAAAAAUUUAAAC